rnacentral:rRNA from 1 species
UACGGAGGAUGCAAGCGUUAUCCGGAAUUAUUGGGCGUAAAGAGCUCGUAGGCGGUCUGUCGCGUCUGCUGUGAAAACUCGGGGCUUAACCCCGGGCCUGCAGUGGGUACGGGCAGACUAGAGUGUGGUAGGGGAGACUGGAAUUCCUGGUGUAGCGGUGAAAUGCGCAGAUAUCAGGAGGAACACCGGUGGCGAAGGCGGGUCUCUGGGCCAUAACUGACGCUGAGGAGCGAAAGCGUGGGGAGCGAACAGG